UGAUAGUACCUUACUACUUGGAUACCUGUGGUAAUUCUAGAGCUAAUACAUGCUAAAAACCCCGACUUACGAAGGGGCGUAUUUAUUAGAUAAAAAACCAAUGCCCUCCGGGGCUCCUUGGUGAUUCAUAAUAACUUAACGAAUCGCAUGGCCUUGCGCCGGCGAUGGUUCAUUCAAAUUUCUGCCCUAUCAACUUUCGAUGGUAGGAUAGUGGCCUACCAUGGUUUCUACGGGUAACGGGGAAUUAGGGUUCUAUUCCGGAGAGGGAGCCUGAGAAACGGCUACCACAUCCAAGGAAGGCAGCAGGCGCGCAAAUUACCCAAUCCCGACACGGGGAGGUAGUGACAAUAAAUACUGAUGUGGAGCUCUUUUGGGUUUCGCAAUUGGAAUGAGUACAAUUUAAAUCCCUUGGGAAAUCGUUAGGGGGUUUCGAGCAGUCGGAAGGUUAUUCCGGCGACGUCUUUUCUCUUCGGAGGAGCUCUCUCCAGAGCGACUCCAAGCCUGGUUGACAGGUCGAGAGACUACACGAAGGCGGGUGGCCGGGCGCCAUUCAAGGCAUAGUCCAACUCCUGGCGUCAAGUCACGGAUACCGGUGUAACGAGGAACAAUUGGAGGGCAAGUCUGGUGCCAGCAGCCGCGGUAAUUCCAGCUCCAAUAGCGUAUAUUAAAGUUGUUGCAGUUAAAAAGCUCGUAGUUGAAACUUGGGCCUGGCUGACCGGUCCGCCUCACCGCGUGCACUGGCUCGGCCGGGCCUUUCCUUCUGGGGAGCCGCAUGCCCUUCGUUGGGUGUGCCGGGGAACCAGGACUUUUACUUUGAAAAAAUUAGAGUGUUCAAAGCAGGCCUAUGCUCGAAUACAUUAGCAUGGAAUAAUAGAAUAGGACGUGUGGUUCUAUUUUGUUGGUUUCUAGGACCGCCGUAAUGA
rnacentral:rRNA from 1 species